AGUGAACGCUGGCGGUAGGCCUAACACAUGCGAGUCGAACGGCAGCACAGUAAGAGCUUGCUCUUACGGGUGGCGAGUGGCGGACGGGUGAGGAAUACAUCGGAAUCUACUUUUUCGUGGGGGAUAACGUAGGGAAACUUACGCUAGUACCGCAUACGACCUACGGGUGAAAGCAGGGGAUCUUCGGACCUUGCGCGAUUGAAUGAGCCGAUGUCGGAUUAGCUAGUUGGCGGGGUAAAGGCCCACCAAGGCGACGAUCCGUAGCUGGUCUGAGAGGAUGAUCAGCCACACUGGAACUGAGACACGGUCCAGACUCCUACGGGAGGCAGCAGUGGGGAAUAUUGGACAAUGGGCGCAAGCCUGAUCCAGCCAUACCGCGUGGGUGAAGAAGGCCUUCGGGUUGUAAAGCCCUUUUGUUGGGAAAGAAAAGCAGCAGGUUAAUACCCCGCUGUUCUGACGGUACCCAAAGAAUAAGCACCGGCUAACUUCGUG
rnacentral:rRNA from 1 species